rnacentral:rRNA from 1 species
GAUGAACGCUGGCGGCGUGCCUAAUACAUGCAAGUCGAGCGAACAGAUGAGGAGCUUGCUCCUCUGACGUUAGCGGCGGACGGGUGAGUAACACGUGGAUAACCUACCUAUAAGACUGGGAUAACUUCGGGAAACCGGAGCUAAUACCGGAUAAUAUAUUGAACCGCAUGGUUCAAUAGUGAAAGACGGGUUUGCUGUCACUUAUAGAUGGAUCCGCGCCGCAUUAGCUAGUUGGUAAGGUAACGGCUUACCAAGGCAACGAUGCGUAGCCGACCUGAGAGAGUGAUCGGCCACACUGGAACUGAGACACGGUCCAGACGCCUACGGGAGGCAGCAGUAGGGAAUCUUACGCAAUGGGCGAAAGCCUGACGGAGCAACGCCGCGUGAGUGAUGAAGGUCUUCGGAUCGUAAAACUCUGUUAUUAGGGAAGAACAAAUGUGUAAGUAACUAUGCACGUCUUGACGGUACCUAAUCAGAAAGCCACGGCUAACUACGUG